rnacentral:rRNA from 1 species
UUUAUGGAGAGUUUGAUCCUGGCUCAGGAUGAACGCUGGCGGCGUGCCUAAUACAUGCAAGUCGAGCGAACGGACGAGAAGCUUGCUUCUCUGAUGUUAGCGGCGGACGGGUGAGUAACACGUGGAUAACCUACCCAUAAGACUGGGAUAACUUCGGGAAACCGGAGCUAAUACCGGAUAAUAUUUUGAACCGCAUGGUUCAAAAGUGAAAGACGGUCUUGCUGUCACUUAUGGAUGGAUCCGCGCUGCAUUAGCUAGUUGGUAAGGUAACGGCUUACCAAGGCAACGAUGCAUAGCCGACCUGAGAGGGUGAUCGGCCACACUGGA